rnacentral:tRNA from 1 species
GAUAAGAUGGCUGAAUUUUAUAGGCUAUAAAUUGUAAAUUUAUAUAUGGUGUUUAACCUCUUAUCA